GUCUAUGGCCAUGCCGCCCUGAACAUGCCUGAUCCCGUCUGAUCUGGAAAGCUAAGCAGGGUCAGGCCUAAUUAGUACUUGGAUGGGAGACCACCUAGGAAUACCGGGUGCUGUAGGCG
rnacentral:rRNA from 1 species